rnacentral:piRNA from 1 species
UACCUGGUUAAUGACGCAUGUGUGCUGGC